rnacentral:lncRNA from 1 species
CCGGAUAAUGGUUUUGCAUAUAGGUCUUCAGGAGAAGCGUAUUAUAUUGCGUUACGGUAAUCAACGGUACAGGCAAGUUCCUAAACUUGAACUUCCAAUUAUGGUGCAAGUUUUUCAAGUUCUUUUUACUUAAACUCUUUUAAGAGUGGUUUCAGACAGAUAUGCUUAUGAAUUGUACUCUGUACAUAUUGCAUGUAUUCAUCAGGUAUGAAAGGCUGAUCACCUUCAUUACCAGUCAGUUUAGAUAUAAUUGUUAUGUUCAUUUUCAAUGUUCAUUCAGCUUUGAAAUUUUGUUUAUGCUAAUUCACAACUACAUUGUGAAGGAUAGCCAGCUUAUUAUUCAAACUCUUUCAAUCAUGAUAUAUCUUUACCUUGUUUUUUUUUAAACUUGUUGGGCAACUUUCAUGCUCACCCUUGCUAUAUCAUGAUAAAACAUUGCAGAUAAGGCGAAUACGGCCAGAUACAGGAAAAAGGAUAAUGCCAAGUUCAGCUUGGGAUAGAAUAUGAAGCUAAGUUGUAAAGUAUGUUGAAGAAUAGUAUUGUCAUGUGUUAGACAGUCAUGAUUGUGUAUACGUUAAGGUUACUCGAUUUUGGGGAAAUAGUGUGUAAAGUUUAAUGUAUAAACAAUUUAUGUUUAUAUCUUCCACAACAGUUGUAGAAAUAGCAAACCGGAUCCGCGGCGAUUCGGGACCCGGAUCUGGGUAUGCUACAGCUAUGACCACCCGAGUUUUUUGGAGAGCCAAAACCACUUAAGGCGGAGACAUGGAUAAAGCAGAUCAACAAGAUAUUUGAUGUCUUGGGAUGCUCCGAGGAGAAAAAGGUUCCCUUUGCAACCUUCAUGUUGCGAGUAGAGGAAGAUUACUAGUGGGAAUCUGUAAAGUGUACUCAACCUGCCGCACUCAAAAUGUCUUGGGAGAAGUUCCAAGAGCUGUUCAAUAACAAGUACUUUCCUGAAAGUAUUCGUCACAUGAAGGAGGUAAAGUUCAUCAAGCUUGAGCAAAACAAUAUGACCGUGGCGCAGUACGAAGCCAAGUUUGCCGAGUUGUCUCGGUUUGCGUCUCACUUAGUUGAUAAUGAGGAGAGAAUGACGCGGAUGUUUCUAAGAGGUUUGAAACCCGAGAUGCGUCAAUACCUAAUUUCUCACAAACUGUGUUUGUAUUUGGAUGUUGUGAAUAUGGCUCAGUUAUUGGAGCGCAAUAAUGAGUCAACCCAACCAAGAGAGAGCAGCCGACAAGUUGAUAAUACCAGUGGUAGCAGUCAUCAAAGUGGUGACAACAAGCGUGGAGGAAAUCAAUAUGCCAGAAAUGGUAAUCACUUCGGUGGUAAUCAUGGCCAUGACAAUAAGAGUGGACAUUUCAAGAAGAGAAGGAUCAACAAAGAUGGAAAGACGUCAGCACCAACACCUGUUGUUAAGGAAGGAGAACGAUCGCCGGUCGUAUGUUACAAAUGUGGAGGGGAAGGACACAUAAGUCUAAACUGCACGAUGUAGUCCAAAGCAUGUUAUAAUUAUGGAAAAGAAGGUCACCUAUCCCAAUUUUGUCGUGCCCCAAAGUUAAGUCCAGCUGGGAUGGAGGCAUCCAAGGGUGUCCCAGAUAAGAUAAAACCGGUAGUUCAAGGGAGAGCGUUUGUUGUAACCACCCAAAAAGCAAGGAAUUCGAAUAAGGUGAUCACAGAUAAGCUAAUCAUAAACUCUAGCGAAGUUUAUACUUUAUUUGAUACCGGUUCUACCCAUUACUUUAUUUCUCCUACUUGCGCUCAACGUUUAAAAAGAUCCAGAAGAGAAUUAUAAAUACGAAUUAAAUUCGUAUGGAGAAUGGGGUUAGUGUUAGGUGGGGAUUCAAUUGAGGACUCAUGUCGGCAGUUGAGUGUAUAAUUCUUCAUAUGGGAGCUGAAUUGUACUUGGUGUAAAAACCACUUAGUUUCUGGCACUGAUAAUCAUUGAAAUGUUUAUAUCGCGCUAUUUGUUAUAUGCAUGUUGAGAAGGUGAUUCUUUUCUCAUGUGUAUAACGAAUAGGUAGAGGAUAUAAGGUUAAGUUGCGAGUUCUUAAAACUCAUACUUAUGGUAAGUUCAUGACUCAUAAUCAUAUGGUAUGUUUUGAACCCCUCAGCGAAUGGACGCCUAUGGUCUGACUAGGAUAAGUUCUUAAACUCAUAUGAUUGUGGCAAGUUCCUGAACUCAUAAUGUGUGGUAAGUUUGAUGAACUGGGGUAUAGCAAAGUGGUGAAUGGAGCAUUGAGGAUUAUAAGAAUAGAUAGAUCUAUUAAGUAAUGGAUCAGUAGAAAAAGUGAAGUUGAUGAUGGAAGCAUAGGUAUUCCAAAUCUUCUAGCUAUGCUAGACUUCGAAGUUUUUGACAUCAAGCUAAAUACGCACUAUGUGCUUUUGAAAAAUGAAUUUUUAUUCUCAACUCCUGGUGAUUAUUGUGUAUGCGUGGACUUCGGGCCAUCGACACCUCGUUACCUGUUGAGAUGAUAAAACUGAUUUGCAAAGAUUUUUGAAACGAUUUAAAGUACAGUCUAUGCUACUUAUUUCGGCUAGACGCGAAUGAUUUGAAGUAUCAAAAGUUGUUUUUAUUUAUCACUUAUGUACCAUGCAACCUGGUGCAGAGAUGAUAAAAAAAUGAUGGAGUCAUCAAUGCAGUAUUACUUAGUGUUGGAUGUGAUCUCAGGAUCGUCAACCCACUAUGGUAUGAUGUAGUAUGAUAAAAUCACCAAAUGACGGAAUCCUCAACGGACUGUAAAUACAGUGCGGCAUCAUGACGUCAUUCUCGAAAAAUGUUUUCAAAAUUUUAAUUUGCCAACGGGGUUUGGCUAUACUUAAAUAAUUCUAUUGAACUGAAUUAUCGAUAUGAGUCUAUGCUAUUCGAUUCAGCUAGACUAAUGUUUAUGAAAACUCUAAGUGUUCAUUGAAAGAAAUUUCCCGAACCAAAUUGUUUUGGUGCGGAAUCCUAUACUAAGUCUGAGGUGAACAACCCUGAAAAUGGGGAUAUACUAAUUGGAUAGAAUAUUCCAAUUUAAGGACGCAUAUAGUCGUUCGGAUUACUAAGGUACAAUAGACUGAUCAUCUAAAGUACCAGAAUCGGUAGUUUACCUUCUUCGUGAUUGUAAACAUACCUAUUAAAGAAAUGUUUAAGAGGUAGAGUACCUUUCUUUCUUAAUUGAAAGAGGUAGCAGGUAGAAAUACCCCUAAACCUCGGAGUUCAAAGUUCAUAAUUUUUAUGAUCCCUCAGACAGAUAUGAAAAGUUUUUUUUAACUCUUCAAAGUAAUGUUGUGGUAGAAUGUGAUGAUGGAUAUGAAAUAGUGUAAACUCGUUGCGUACGAGUAGAAUCUGAGAUGAUUAAAUAAAGGUUAUUAUGACAACCUAGUUUUGAUGAAUGUUUAGAAGAUGUAAACUCCUAGUGAGUAGUUAUGGUGAAAUGUGAUAAUAGAUGAGAAAUCCUCGAAUGAGGAAAUUGUAAAGGUUAAAUUGAAAACCUAGUUUUGAUCAAGAGAAUGAGCAGAGGUUAGGAUGCUUUAAUUUCGAGGACGAAAUUCUUAGAAGAAGGGGUGAAUGUGACAACCCGAGAAAUUAGAAAAUUAUUAAAAUCUUAAAUGAUUGGUUUAAGGUCAAAUAAUAGACCUAGACAGAGAAUAAGUGUAUGUGUUUGAUGUUUUCAGAAAGGAAUUUUGAGGAUUUAAAAUUUCUUUUAGUGAAUUAUUCAGGAUUAAGGGUAUGUGUGUAUAUAUUCUGUGAUUACGGUAUUAUGUGUACAGAAUGUGGUUAAGGGUCAAGUGUUGACCAGAUAAAUUAUAUCUGUGUCAAACCCUAAUAUUAUUAGAACGUCAACGUUCAGUUAUAAAAUUAUUACGAUUUAUAAGAAACCCUAGAAAUCGGUUCUGGAAACCCUAAUUUCAGUACCGGGAAUCCGAAAUCCUAAUUCAGUAUUUGAAACCCUAAUUUGGGAAGUCAAAGGCUAAAUAUAAUGGCUUAAGUAUUUGUGAUUAUAUAUUAGGGAUAACCCUAAUUGUUAAAUUAGAAAUCCUAAUGUUUUGUAUAAAACCCUAAGGGAUUAAAAGUUAUGUGUGUAAUGAAUAUGAAUUAUGUGUAUGAUUAAAUAAAUAUACAUUAUAUAAUGUGAAUACAUUUAUUUUGUAUAUAAAAGUGAAGUAAGAAUUAAAUUAUGUAACCUAAUAUAUAUAUUAGGUGUGAUAAUUAAAUAACCUAAAUGGUUAUCGUUAUUUAGUGGUCCUAAUAUUUUAUUUUUAUAUUAGUGACCUAAUUUAAGAGAAUUGUGGAACAUGUCACAAUUUAUUAAAUUAUUUUGUUCGAAUAGGUGAGUAAAGGAAUAUGAAGAUUAUGUGAUGGUUUAUAUUGUUUAUUAUAUAAACAAAUAAAAGAAACUAAUGUGAUCCUAAUUAUAUAUUAGGAAUGAAGAAUUUAAUAACUUAAGGGUUAUGAGAUGAGAAAAUUAUGGUAUUUAGAAUAUAUACCAAUUAUGAGAGAUUUAUUUUAUACAUCUCAGUUAAUUAAUUUUAUAACCUAAUUUUAGCAAGUCUAAUUGGGUUAAGGAAAUAAAUGUGCAUGAGUAAGGAUUUAAGUUAUAAUUGAGGAAAAUGAAAACCCUAAUUAAAUGAUUUGGGUUGGAUAAGAAUUAAGAGUGUUGGACUAUGUUAAUUUACAUGGCCCAAAGAAUUAAAUUUUAAGUCCAAUAUAUUAUUUAUUGAUAGCCCAAAAGAUGGAAAUGGUGACCCAAAUUUAAGCCCAAAUAAGGAGGGACAUAUUGGACAUUUGGUAUAAUAAAUAAGAAUUAAAAAGAAAUCAUUUAUUAAUGUGGAAAUUACUAGUAUACCCUUUUGUUUUAUUAGUGUAUUAUUAGUAACAUUGUUGAUAAGAAUCUUCAAUUAUGCUAGCUAAUCAAUUGCUUCUAGAAGUCACUCAUGUUACUAUGCUAUUACACCUCAAUUAUCAAGCAAACUAAUGUCUAGAUACAUUUCUUACAUUAUUACACUAAACAAAAAUCAUAUUCUUCACUUUUCUCAUCUUAUUUUCCAACAUAACUAAGAAAGAAAGAGAGAGACAAGAGAGAGAGGGAGAGGGGAGUUAGGAAACUCCAAGAAAGAAGGAGAAGAGAUUUUGAUUUUUCAUUCCAUCCAAGAUCCAUCACAUAGUUGGAAGAAAAAGAUAUGUCAUGAAGCUAAAGGUAAAAAUUUCCUAAACUCAAAACUCUUGUUAGUUAAAGUGUUUUGAUAUGGUGUUUUAGAUCAAGUGUUGAACUUAUGAUUUUGAACCAUAAGUUUAAGAUCUUGAACAUGAGAACUAUAGAUCUACAUGAUAAAUGAUAUUUUAUGGUUAGAUCUUGCCAUUUUUAGGGUUGAUAGGCUUGAACAAAGAAGAAUAACCAAAACAGUUUUUUUUGUUUUAAAUGAGUUAGUGGACUGCUGCCCUAAAACAGAAAAUUUCGGAUUUGUUAGAGUGCUCUAAAAAUUCUGGACUUGUGAUAUGUUAUAGUACACUCAAUAAGCUUUCCAUAGACUCCAAAACGGACUAAAUCCGACAUCGGAGGAGGGAGUUAUGGGAUUUCUCCCAAACUACACAAAGUUAAGAAAACUGUGAAAAGGACAGUUUUGGAACAGUCACUUCCGGGCUAAAUUCCGGGAGCUAAACAUAUCCAAAUAUGGAUUGUGAUAUAUGAAAACUGUAGUUCGGAAAGAUACGAAUCCAACAAAAUUGACGGAUCAUUAAUCGGAGUUACAGAUUUCGUUUUAUUUAAGUUUUGGUGAAGGACUCCAAAACUGCCAAAGUGCAAAAAGUUUCUGGCCAAAAUUUUCCGAGGGCUGUUUUGGACAUUUAGUUAAUGAGAAAAAUUACAGGCUUUUGGGAAAUGAAAAUAUAUGGUAAUAUGUAGCUCGUGUCCAAAAAUGAGCUAAUUCCGGCUUAAAACGACCAAGUUAUGACCAUUUCAAUUUUUGUGAUUUUCCGACGGAAAUCGCUAUAACCGGAGUUCUACAACUCCGAUUGCCACGAAAUUUAAAAUGGAGCAUCACGUUAACAUAUAUAAGGUUAUGUCAAAAGAUGGGCAUCUCUGGAGUUAAGCACGAGGUAGCUAAUUUUCUUAAGUCACGCACUAAUUAUGAUUUUUGAAAAAUAGUAAAAGAAAUUGAAAAAUUACGGAAAAAUAUUUUUUAUGUAUGAAAUACAUGUAUAUAUGUUUGACCAAAGGAUAAAAAAAUAAUAAGUUGAUUUGGUAUUUUUCGUGAAAAAGAAUAGUGAUUUCGGGAUACUGAAAUAAAAUCCGUCUUACUGAAAUGGUAUUUCGGUUUACUAAGAUGUUAUCUAAUUUACUAGGAUAACAUAUAAAAAUGAAUAACUUAUAAGUAUAAGUUAUGAUGUGAUUAAAAGAAUAUCAAAGUAUAAUAAUAAUAUUAAGACUUAAAACUAAUGUCUAAUACUUAACUAUAUGUUAUGACUAACCGAAAGAUCUAUUAUAGGUUUUAUAUGCUGUAUAGACUGAUAGGAGUAUGUGGAAAUAUGUUUAAGUUAUUUUAUAACAGUGAUGAUAUUAUUCUAAUAUUGGAGAUCUAUAUUAUUAAUAUUAGGUCUUCAGGAGAAGCGUAUUAUAUUGCGUUACGGUAAUCAACGGUUCAGGCAAGUUUUUCAAGUUCUUUUUACUUAAACUCUUUUAAGAGUGGUUUCAGACAGAUAUGCUUAUGAAUUGUACUCUGUACAUCUUGUAUGUAUAAGUCGGGUAUGAAAGGCUGAUCACCUUCAUUACCAGUUGGUCCAGAUAUAUUGUUAUUCCUGUUAAAUACUUAUUCAGUCAAAACUUUGUUCAUGCUAAUUCACAAAUACAUUGUGAAGGAUAGUCAGCUUAUUAUUCAAACUCUUUCCAUCAUGAUAUAUCUUUGCAUUGUUUUUAAACUUGCUGGGCAACUUUCAUGCUCACCCUUGCUAUAUCAUGAUAAAACAUUGCAGAUAAGGCGAAUACGGCCAGUUACAGGAAAAGGAUGAUGCCAAGUUCAGCUUGGGAUAGAAUGUACAGCUAAUUUGUAAAAGUAUGGUUGAAGAAUAGUAUUGUUAUGUGUUAGAUAGCUUAUGAUUUGUGUUUAAGUAAAGGUUACUCUACCUUGGGGAAUAGUGUGUAAUGUAAUGUAUAAACAAUUUAUGUUUAUAUCUUCCGCAAACAGUUGUAGAAAUAGCGUACCGGAUCCGCGGUGAUUUGGACCCGGAUUCGGGGAUGCUACAGACUUAAUCUAGUUUGGCAAGCAUAUUAAUAAUGUUAAGACAUAUUGUGGACUAUAAUAACAUAUUGUAAUGAGAUGUAAUAUAAAAU